UACAGAGGUCUCAAGCGUUGUUCGGAUUCAUUGGGCGUAAAGGGUGCGUAGGUGGCGCCGUAAGUCGGGUGUGAAAUUUCGGAGCUUGACUCCGAAACUGCAUUCGAUACUGCGGUGCUUGAGGACUGGAGAGGAGACUGGAAUUCAUGGUGUAGCAGUGAAAUGCGUAGAGAUCAUGAGGAAGACCAGUGGCGAAGGCGGGUCUCUGGACAGUUCCUGACGCUGAGGCACGAAGGUCAGGGGAGCAAACGGG
rnacentral:rRNA from 1 species